ensembl:snRNA U6 U6 spliceosomal RNA
GUGCCCGCUUCGGUAGCACAUAUACUAAAAUUGGAACGAUAGAGAGAAGGUCAGCGGGGCCCCUGAGCAAAGAUGACACGCCAAUUCGGGAAGCGUUCCAUGUUUUU